CGCAAGGAAAAGACGGAAGUGAGGGAAACGUGGAUGCAAUUUAAGAGACUUGGGAUGCACCCAAUGUCACAAGCCGCCUUCCAAAGACAGAAAUAUAGUCAUCUGUAAUAAAUGUCAUUCUUUAAAGGUCCAGUGUGUAAUAUGUGUGGUAUUUAGCAGCCUCUAACGGUGAGGUUCUAGAUUGAAGCACUCCGCCGCUCACCCCUCCCCUCCCUAAGACUUUGGAGAGAUUCCAGAAGCUACGGUGGCCUUCAAGGACAAGAAGCUAUUUGCUGAAAAUGUCAUCGUCUACGACAACUUCGAGCAUUUCUAACAAGUCAAGCGAUGAGAGUCAAGUACCGGAGGUUAGAGGAGGAGGAAGAGGGCAAGAAAGAGGAAACUUCUUGAAGAGAUGACCUUGGAGGAGCACAGGCAGCUCACCAGUGAACUGCUUCAGAGGCAGCCAGGGUUCAUUUUUGAUGCCUUGAUGAUGCAUCAGUGCAGGCAUGGUGUCCCACCGUUUGCUGGAGUGCCAGGGGUACCAUGGUGUACUUGUAGUAACUGUAUAGACAUGCCUACGGACCGGGAGAGGAAAUGCUGUGGCCAGUACCCUGCAGAUUGUGUAAUAAUAAUACCGCACUUCUCCCAGUACUGUCUUGAAAAUGCUUUUUAUGCAUUCACAGGCGGUACUGGGAGGACGUUAUGGUCUUUGGCCAAACCAGGAAGCCUGGGGAUGACAACUGGGAGUACCAUUAUGCUGCCUAUAGACAUUUCAUCUAUUGACAGCAUGGCUCUUUAAACCGACUUGUCAUCCCCAGUUGCUGUGUUUGGAGGAUCAGGGACAAGUUCCCUGGUCCUCCAAAGACAUCACACUGGUUUCACACCUGGCCUCUUGAGUUUCCCUCCAUGUCCUCUGGAACGUCCACACAGUAUCUCAGGUACUCACACACCUGCCUGUUCAUCAUCAAGGCAUCAAAUCAUCUCAUAUUUAUUUGUUACAUUUCUGA